AAGCAGUAGGAGCCUCUUUAUGGGGUGACUGCGUACCUUUUGUAUAAUGGGUCAGCGACUUAUAUUCUGUAGCAAGGUUAACCGUAUAGGGGAGCCGUAGGGAAACCGAGUCUUAACUGGGCGAAUGAGUUGCAGGGUAUAGACCCGAAACCCGGUGAUCUAUCCAUGGGCAGGUUGAAGGUUGGGUAAAACUAACUGGAGGACCGAA
rnacentral:rRNA from 1 species